UUUUUCUUUAAGUCUGGAAUCUGAUUCCUUUUGGGAUGAGCACCCCUCUGAGCCCCCCAGUUUCAGAGGCUUCUUUGGAGGUGACCACUGAAAAGUAUAGAUUCUAUAAAAUAGAUGUGAGGGGGCAUUGGACAGUAAUGUCACCUUAAUUAUACUUUUCAUAUAGCAGAUAUGUGAUAUGCAAUGUGAUUUAAUAUAUCAGAGUAUUAUCACUUUAAUUGACACUGCAUUUUUUUUAUGCAUUAUUCUUUAUGCAUUAUUAUUUUUCUUUUCUUAAAUUGUAAUGUCUGUUUAGAAUAUUGCAGGCUUUGCAAUAUCAAAUUAAGUUUGCAGUAUAUAUAUUCACAAUGCUCUUACAACAUAUUAUUAAAAUUAGCCUCUUUCCGAAUUGUAGAAUAUGUGGUAGACCUGAAUCCCCAUAUAUGAGAUUUGAAACUGUAUUUUUAUUUCUACGCUGUGCCCUGAUCAGUAUUUAAAUGCAUAAUUGCAGCAGCAUAUAGCUUUUAAAGAAGCAAUUAUUUCACCGUUCAUGUGUGGUUGACUGUGGAGUUUUUAAAACCUAUUGUUUAUUUUAUUUUUUAAAUCUGUUUCUGACUUUGAGAGCAGGCUGCUGAAUGCAUGUAAAUGCUCUUAAUGCUUAGUCUCUAUACAUUUAUUUAAUCGUGUUUUAUGAAAACCUAGUUUAUGAAAUUCACUGAGAUUACAUGUGUCUGAUCUGAUUACAGUCAGUAGUACAAUAUAAUUGUUCUAAUUUCCUUACUGCUAGUACGGUGGGAUAGUACCACUGAUUUAAGUAAGCUUUCCCUUUUAAAAUCGGUGGACUUUACUGCCAUUGCAAUAGACUAAAGACUGUACCUGAGUAAGCAAAGUCAUUAUGUGCAGGAAUUGUGCACUUUAAAUAGUAGAAUACUUAUGCUAUUCUAGUGAAUUGGGCUGGCUGCUUAACACAUCAUUUAGUAUCUUUUGGUCACAUUUAAAGCUGUAAAUGUAUUUAACAUUUUAUUUAAAUAAGCCUUUAAUAAUUUCAGUUUAAAAGUUAUUAGAGAUCCUAUAUAGUUACAAUUUUAUUUAGCCCUGAUUUAGCUUACAUAUAUAUUAUUUUUAAUCAUUUUAUCAAUAUUUAUUUUUGCAGAGCAUUUAGAGAAGCAAAGGAUGUAUAACCACCUGUUGCCCUUUUUUCUAGGAGGGUAGUAUAAUUUCAACUCUGUUUAGGAAAAAAUAUGAGCUAGUUAUAUAUUAUAUAAAAUAUAUGCUGCAUUGUACUGCAUUGUACUGCACUGAAUUUAUUUAAAAGCCUUGUCUUUCUCUUUACGGCUGUAAGUAAUAAUAUUGUUCAUAAUUUGGAAUAUAAAACAACGACUUCUCAAUUCCUUGGAAUGUUUACAUGUCUCUGUAUCUCCGCAACCUUGGCUGGAAAUUCCACACUCCAAAAAUAGUUAUGCUAUUAUAAUUCCUGAUUUUUAAUCAACAGCUAGCGAACUGACAAUAUGGAAAAUAUCACUGUUUUACAAAACUUUUCAUAUAUAGUGGACAUUAGAAUCCAGAACGCAAUAAUGCAAUUUUCUUUGCUUUCUUGGAAUUAGACUCCAAAUUUCAUUGCUCUGUCUUAUCACUUUUCUUUUGACAACAUUUUGCAUGAAUCUUUUUCCUGCGCAUGCAUACUAAGCAGCUACAAAGAGAACAUAUCCCCCUGUCUGCAGUCCACUGUCCUGGAACUAACGGGCCAUGCUGUGCUGGUGUAUUAGGCAUAUCAGGGAGUUUACCAAAUUUGUAUAUUUGUUCUAUUAUGAUAUUAGUUAAGAUCCACAAUUUCAGCAUUGUAUGCUAAUUACAUUGUACCUGGCACCUGAACUCACAGUGCCUUGUUCACAUUAAAAUCAUCUCUAAUGAUGAAGAUCUCUCUCUGAGUCUGGGCUACACAUAGCUCAAUAGAUUCUUGAUAUUUCAAGACUUGUGCCAUGACAAAGUAUUGUGUCUUCUCUUACGUAUAAGAGGUUACCUAGGUAUUUAUUUUAUAUUUAAAGCUUCCAAGUACAAAGUCCCUUCGUGGUCGCCAAUUGUAACCGCUGGUGGUUCCCUUAUUUACCACUAUAAUGUCUUAAAGCAUAGAACUUAGUAGGGCUAACCAUACAGAUA